GCUGUUUUGUGUGUGAAGUUAUUGUGCUUUUGCUUCAUAGUUUGGGCGUGAAAUAUAAAUGUAUAUGUAUGUCCUUUUGAAUUUUUCUUCGUGCAUAUAUGUGCAGUAUAUCAUCUAUUAAUAUCAAGGCAUUUUUUCUAUUUCACCAGACCCGGCGGUGAGAAUCUCGCCAGACUGUACAGAGUGAAUGGAGCAUGUCGGGAGAGUUAAUUUUAAGACACUGUUCUCAGCACACACACAAUCACACAACAGGAGGCAAUGGACACGAUGGCUAAAUAUCUCAAGUAUGCACCGGAGAGGUUGGGGUGGUGGUGGCCGCAAGAACCCCUCUGACAAUGUUGGAGAUAAUAACUCAGCGCCGCUGAUCAUCACACCUGUUAAACAUCAGAAAUGAGGUGA